AUACGGAGGGUGCAAGCGUUACUCGGAAUCACUGGGCGUAAAGCGCGCGCAGGCGGCUAUUUAAGUUGGAUGUGAAAGCCUAUGGCUCAACCAUAGAACUGCAUCCAAAACUAUUUAGCUAGAGUGUGGGAGAGGAAGAUGGAAUUAGUUGUGUAGGGGUAAAAUCCGUAGAGAUAACUAGGAAUACCAAAAGCGAAGGCGAUCUUCUGGAACAGUACUGACGCUGAGGCGCGAAAGCGUGGGGAGCAAACAGGAUUAGAAACCCUUGUAGUCC
rnacentral:rRNA from 1 species